AAUGCCACACUCCGGAAACAAUGUCCGGCUCUAUACAAUAUUGUGUGUCACAAGGCUGAUACUAUUACCAAGGUAAUGGAAUCAUUUCCGCCAAAUGUGACGUUCAGAAGAGAUUUAAUUGGACCCAGCCUCCAAUCGUGGUACAUCCUGCUCCAACGGUUGUCCACGGUGCAAUUGUCAUAUGGGUAUGAUGUAUUUCGAUGGAACCUACAUGGAAAUGGACAAUUCUCAGUGGAGUCUAUGUAUAGAGCAUUAAUCCAGUCUGAUGUGCUAGUUGAUAAUAAUAAGAAGAUCUGGAAGAUGAAGAUACCUCUUAAGAAUAAAAUAUUUGCAUGGUAUCUUCGUCGUAGAGUCAUUUUUACUAAAGAUAACCUUAUUAAUAGGAAUUGGCAUGGAAGUCUGCAAUGUGUCUUUUUUGUCAUCGUGAUGAGACAAUAA
rnacentral:rRNA from 1 species